rnacentral:piRNA from 1 species
UAGCGAUCAAUCAUUUGUUUU